UAUUUUUGCGGCCUUCGAAGAGUAACAUAUUAUUGCAGGUGACUGUACAGGUUUGGAAGACUUCACUAUGAGCAAUAAUUAACAUUCUAGGCCUUAUUUUCUAAGCCGGUUCGCUCCUGAUAAUUAAAGUUCUCAAUGUAAAUGAUAUUUAGUAUUUACGUCUAACUCGUGAGUUUAGUUGUUUUCGCUACUUCAUUAAUUACCCCAGGUAAGAGUGGGAUUCAGAAUUGGAUAGAGUAAACAGCUGUUUGAUAAAAUCAUAUACUUUGAAUUUUAUCGUAAAAAGAUAGUUGAAAAGUAGGUAGUUCAACAGCAUAGACUAGGAAUCCUCUAGACCGGCGGUCGGCAACCUGCGGCCCGCGGGCCGCAUACGGCUCGUGAAACUGUCACUUGCGGCCUGCGAGCCUCUCUGGCUAUGUAAUAUUGAGAAACGACAAUGUCUGAUUUUUUUUUUUCUUUAUUUAGGAUUACCAACAGAUAAUACAUCUUACAUGCUCUUAAAUCUAUAUAACAAUCAUGACUGAUGCUUAUCUAAUUAUAGGCUUAUAUAAUUAUCUAAAUAUAGAUAAGCUAUAUUAUCUAAUAUAGCUUAUCUAUUAUACUGAUAAAGUCAUAAAUAUUAACAAAGUGCGGCCCGCGUCAACUUACUCAUCGUUAACUACGCCACUAAAACUACCCAAAAAAAGGUUGCCGACCGCUGCUCUAGACGGAGUUUAGAGCAAUUAUUUCAUGAAACCGAUGCUGCCAAAAAUACGGGGGGACGAGGUGAGCGAGGUCCCGUGCCGUGAUUGGUCCGUUCAAAGACACGGACGUCACACAAAGACACUUUCGACUCGAAAAUGGAGUAAAACUACCGUAUGCGUGGUGCGUGUGGUAGAGCUACUAUGCUCAGUCUGGAGGAUGUCUUGUCUGUGUUCAACAGACACCCGCAAACGUCGAUUUACUUUAUCUAAUUUUGAGUGUCACUGCAAAUUCUUUUUAAUGUUGGUUUACGGGAUGAACGGGACUGUCACACAAUUUAAGCAAUGCAAUGUCUUACCUGCAUUUUAUUACAGUAAAAAACAGUUCUCGCAGGACAGGCGAAUUUAUACCUUAAGUCCAACGUCAUAAAGACUCGCAUAUGAAUGCUGUUUUGUCUUGUGUAUUUGUGACUAAUAUUGCCCCAUAGUUUAUUAUAGUCAAAAUAUGGAAAUAAUCAAAUAACUUAAUGAAAUACAUACAUAUUUAUAUGCCAACCUAUUAUCACUGCCACAGUAAAGGCCCUUCCUGACUUGGCGUUGGUGGAAUAAUUGAAGUACGCGGUAUAUCUUAUCAUUCUCACCGCAAAGUCAAGUAGGGCAUUGGAAAUCAGAAUUUGUUAAUGUUAUUGUGAAUGGUUUCAUACAUAAAACCAUUACCAUAAAUGGGUAAAUUCAUAAAUUAAUGUUUAAGGACAUUUUGUUGUUGAAAUCAGAGUUAAAUCGUUCCUAGUCAAGUUUCAUCCCGUAAUAGUUGAGAGUUUAAUCCUUAGUAAAUGUUCCUGGAUCAUAGUUUUAAUCUGAACAAACUAGUUGUGAAGUUAUCGAACUUAAUAUUAAAUAAUUUAAGUAGUGUGCAGCUUCCCUACUGACACUUUCUAAGCAGAUAGUUAUAGGUCAGAGAAAAUUGUUUUAACAGUAUUCAAUGUGUUUUACGCUUUUUAGAGCUCGUUUUAAAAUAUUUAUCAUAACGUCAAAAAUAUCAAAAUGAGGUUAAAUUAUGUAUACAGAUUGUAUACAAUAUGGUUCUACUAUUAUAUAGCACAAAGAAAAAAUAAUUAUUAGUUUGAAAUAAAUACCAAUGCUUCGUUUCUAUCAGUCGCAGAGAACAAUUUUAUUUAUCUUGACAAUGUCUAGUCUACAGUAGAAAACUCUUUCGACACGUUUUUGAUUAUCAUUUUACGUUGAACUUUUCCACUAUACCGUUUUGAUUUGGGUGCUCGCGUGGUAUCUAUGAAAUCUUACAAAUUAUGGUGAUUUCGUAUGAAAAAAUAAUGUACCGCGUCCUAAUAACUCUUUGGUAUCUUAUUAGAGAACACAUUAGGUACACAAUUCCUCAGAUUCCACCAUAACACAAAUAAAAACACUAUGAAAUCAAAACCUGCUACAAAAUGGUAUUUUCGAAUAAAUUGGUAAUUGCUGCUAAGGGGUCAUCCAUUAAUUACGUCACACGAAUUUUUUAGGUAUUUUACCCCUCCCCCCCUCCUUGUCACACUUGGUCACAUUUGGAAAACCCCUCCCCCCUGGUGUGACGUCACAUUUCUUCAACGAAAUCGGCAAAUAUUUAUUUAAUAUUUUAUCAAAAUAUUUUUGACAAAAGAAAUAUUAGUGAUUUUAUAACCCAAAACUGAUUAAGAAAUAAAAUUAAACGAAUAAAAAUGAUUAUCGUUUCAAAAACUUGUUAAUUAAAUGUAUAUUAGCGGAUAAAAUAAUUUAAAUAAAUUUUCGGUUACUGAUGAAGUUAAAGUGACGUCACAAAGUUUAUGACUCCCCCCUCCCCCUUGUCACAACAUGUCACAUUUUCUUGACUCCCUCCCUCCCCCUAAACGUGUGAUGUAAUUAAUGGAUGACCCCUAAGUGCUAGAUAUACUAGUAGCUACGCCGUUCUUAGUAUAACGAAAUAAGUGUCUUUAACGUGGUUUAAGAACUCACAAUGUCAAUUGCUCAUUACUGAGGGCUCCUAAACUAAGUCCGGAUUCCACGGAGGUCCGGUUUCUCGAGCGGUUAAGAUCUUGGUCUCCCGUUGACGUCGUAUCAUCCUGCGUAUGAGGAAUCACACCGAAUAGGAUACAGUAAGAAAA